AUUGAACGCUAGCGGGAUGCUUUACACAUGCAAGUCGAACGAGUGGCGGACGGGUGAGUAAUAUAUCGGAACGUGCCCAGUAGCGGGGGAUAACUACUCGAAAGAGUGGCUAAUCCCGCAUACUAUUGGAGCGGCCGAUAUCGAAUUAGCUAGGUGGUGGGGUAAAGGCUCACAAAGGCCACGAUCCGUAGCUGGGUUGAGAGGACGACCAGCCACACUGGGACUGAGACACGGCCCAGACUCCUACGGGAGGCAGCAGUGGGGAAUGUUGGACAAUGGGGGAAAGCCGGAUCCAGCCAUGCCGCGUGUAUGAGAAGGCCUUCGGGUUGUAAAGUACUUUUGGCAGAGAAGCGUUAUCUGCAGAAUAAGCACCGGCUAACUACGUGCCAGCAGCCGCGGUAAUUC
rnacentral:rRNA from 1 species